ACCGCAGCCAAGAUAACUCACAGUAACAAAAUGGAAGACCUGUCCAGAGAAUUUUGGAAAAGGAUUUAUAAAACGGUAUGACUGUUUCCUGGCUUGCUAUGGCCGCUUCGCAGUUAAUCUGCAGAACCUAAAGGGAAAAGGUCAUCUUCAAAUUCAAUUUAUGAAAUAAACUAGAUGCAUUUUUGAACCUAUAGGCUAAAUUUGUCUCCAGUCUCAAGAACUUAUCUUGUGUAUGCAAUAUUGAGUUUUAAGAUUUCGUUGGAAUUCAGUUUAUUUUUGUCGUGGCCGUGGUCCAUCACCUUUCUGUAUUGCUCUUUUUACACUUUAGUCCACGAUACGUUCGGUAUGUUACCGUUUUGCCUUUUGGGCAUUUCACUCUAUUAAACUAAUGUUGAAGGAUUUUGUAGAUGGAAACGUCGAGUAGAAAUUUCGAAAUAACACCAGGAGCAGCAGCGAGAAAUGGCAGGAAUCGAACGUGUAAUCGAGCUGUAGUUCUACAUGAAAAAAUGGGUAGUUCUAAAACUUAAAAUUGGCAGUUCUAAAACAAUUGGCAGUUCGCCAAAAAUGUUGGGAAAAGAAAUAUUAAUUAGCUAAUUGAUUGGAGUUCUAACCGGGGGGCACUAUACUGUCCACUUGGACACUGUGGAUUUUUUUGAAAUCGGAUUAAUUAAUUGAAUUGAUUGAUUUAAUUGCAUGAUACCAUGAGUGCGAUUAAGGUGGCUCAAUAGAAUUUUUGAAAAAAUGGAAAAUGCACGAUUCAGAUCCGUAUUUUUGGACAAUUAUUAGUUGUUGAAAAACAAAAAGUAUCUUACUCAUAUGAAACAAUAUCUAAAGAGUUUGAAUUUUUACACAAAGUUACACAACUGCCGUUGCUAUGGCAGCAAUGACGUUUCAAGAUGGCGGAUAUUUUGGCUCUAAAGUAAUUUAACUCGUAAACAACAUCGGUG